rnacentral:lncRNA from 10 species
CCAGAUUUCAAGGGUGGCACACAGAUGCCACCUCUUAAUGGGGAUGUGUCCAAGAAUUUGUAGACAUAUUUGAAACCACCACAGUUUGGGAGAAAGCAGAGCUUGCUAGUUGUCUAACUACGUUCCAUUUUUACCUUCCUAGUAACAGAAUCCCUAUGUUAUCAGUUAACUCAGAUUUUUUAAAAUCUACUUUUCCUGGCCUCCAUAAAAGAUGUGUGUCCAAUGAGAAGAAAGGAGAAGUCAUUGGAUGAGCCUUUGGGAAAGUUAUUUUAUAAACUUUAAAGAAUCUUCAUAGGAUAGUAUACUCUUCUAGAAAGUGUCUCUUUCCCCUUCUCCUCUUCUUUAUUCUCCCUGCCUGGAAUGCAGAUGAUAGAGUUGGAGCUCCAGUAGCCAUCUUGAGACCAUGAGGCAAUCCUGAGAAGGAAAGCUACACAUUAAGGAUGAGGGAGCAGAAAAAUUAAAGAAUACCAGGUCCUGGGAGACAUUGUGGAGCCAACAUGCCUACCCUGCCUUUUGAAUGUCAAGUUAUAAGACAGUAAAAUACAUGUCUAUUAUAUUUGGUGGUGUCUGUCACCAAAAUCAAUCCCUAACUGACACAAGCGAUCAGAAAGAGUUAGAUCAGAAAGGAGGAAAUGUAAUUUUUUUUGGUAAAGUAAUAAUUGCACAAGCAUUUGCUAAAAUGAGAAGGAGGUUGCCAGAUAAAGUAAGGAAAGACCUUUCAUGCAGAGGGAACAGUAUGGUUAAAAUAUCAAGGAAACCACUUGAUCACUUUCUCCUGAAAAAAUAACAUAUAUUAGAGUGGCUUGGUGAGGUUACUUCAAAUUAUAUUUGAUGAUUCCAGAGGAAGAAAUAGUAGAACUUCAGGUAUGCUGAGAAAGUGAUUUCUCCAACACAUCUCUGCUGAGAAGGAGGGGCUGAAGGAAAAGGCCUGAGCUAUAAGGACACAGAUAUCAGGGUUCAGACCUCGGCUCUAAUACUUACAAGUUAUAUGACAUUCGGCAAACUUCUCCAUAUAUUUUCAUCUGGUGUAUUUCUUCUCUAUGAGUCAUUCAUGUACAGAGAAGUCUUAGUGCCUUGGGGAUCUUCAGGAACAUUACACACCUCUCAGCAACAAC